rnacentral:rRNA from 1 species
UACGUAGGGAGCAAGCGUUGUCCGGAAUCAUUGGGCGUAAAGCGCGCGUAGGCGGCCCCGUAAGUCCGCUGUGAAAGUCAAAGGCUCAACCUUUGAAAGCCGGUGGAUACUGUGGGGCUAGAGUCCGGAAGAAGGCGAGUGGAAUUCCUGGUGUAGCGGGUGGAAAUGCGCAGAUAUCAGGAGGAACACCAAUAGCGAAGGCAGCUCGCUGGGACGGUACUGACGCUAAGGCGCGAAAGCGUGGGGAGCGAACAGG